GGGAUAUUGCACAAUGGGGGAAACCCUGAUGCAGCGACGUCGCGUGUGGGAAGACGGACCUCUGGAUUGUAAACCACUGUCCCCAGGGACGAAGAUGACGGUACAUGGGGAGGAAGCUCCGGCUAACUACGUCCCAGCAGCCGCGGUAAUACGUAGGGAGCGAGCGUUGUCCGGAAUUACUGGGUGUAAAGGGAGCGUAGGCGGGACUGCAAGUUGGGUGUCAAAUCUACCGGCUCAACCGGUAGCCGCACUCAAAACUGCAGUUCUUGAGUGAAGUAGAGGCAGGCGGAAUUCCUAGUGUAGCGUUGAAAUGCGUAGAUAUUAGGAGGAACACCAGUGGCGAAGGCGGCCUGCUGGGCUUUUACCGACGCUGAGGCUCGAAAGUGUGGGGAGCAAA
rnacentral:rRNA from 1 species